AAGCAUUGCCGGGUAGCUACGUUUGGACGGGAUAAACGCUGAAAGCAUCUAAGCGUGAAGCCUCCUUCAAGAUUAGAUCUCUCUGAUGAAAAUCAGUAAGGAACGUUGGAGACUACGACGUUGAUAGGCUGGGUGUGGAAGUACAGCAAUGUAUGAAGCUUACCAGUACUAAUGAUCCGAGAGACUUAAGUCUAU
rnacentral:rRNA from 1 species